CAAGAGGCUUAAAUAUUUAUUGCACAUAAGGCACAUAGUCCAACAAAACAGUAAAUAUUUGAAUGGUUUCUUAUUUUUGUAAUCCAUAAUAUUGUAGAAUAGUACAUUAAAUUCGAGAAUAGUUUGAAUAGUGUUUACUGAGUGGCAUUAGGACUAAUAACUAGAUCCAUAUUGUAAUGUACAGUAUAUGAAAAUAGAUGAGUUCUGCAAUCUAGAUGCCAAAAAUAAAAUUCACCGAAUGUUGUAAAAAUUGAUCAUGAUUAAGUAAAAAUUAAACAUCUAGAGAAAGUAGAAAGCAUCUCAUCACAAUGUAUUAUUUUGAAAAGAUUAGAACUUUGAAAGAGUUGUAUUUGUGUCCUUGAUGACCUUUAGAAAGAGGGACAGUCUUUUCUCCUUUUGUUUUUACACA